UUCCCCCCUACUGAAGCCUUCCGCGGCGACUUGAUAAAUAACUGCGUAGCCUGCUCUGCAGACCACACCACGAAAAUGCUAGGACUUGAUUAACUUCGAGUACCAGCAGCCUGGAGUUCCAGGUCCACAGAUCAUGUAGUGGUGGUCAUUUAUGAUUGAGAUAUGACCGGUCUUAACUAGAAUUAGUUGGGAAUCAAUGUUCCGUAGGUGAACCUGCGGAAGGAUCAUUAUUGAAAGGGAGCCCUUCGGGGUUCAACCUUAAACCCUUUGUCUUAAUUACCUGUUUCUUUGGCGGGCUCGCCCGUCAGAAGUUUUCACAAACCCAUGAUAAACGUGUCAUCUGAAUAACAAAGUAAAUAAAUUAAAACUUUCAACAACGGAUCUCUUGGUUCUG
rnacentral:misc_RNA from 1 species